rnacentral:lncRNA from 1 species
AUAAAUUCCCAUCUUGGAUAUGUCUUUAUCAGCAACAUGAGAACAGAUGAAUAAAAAUUCUCAGACUGGGAGAAAAAUAUGCUAAAGUGCUUCAUUCCCAGAAUAAUAUUCUUGUUAUUUUGUCAUAUGGGCAGCCUACCUGCUUACCUCCUGUCCACACAUCCUAAUAUGAUGCCAACCAGUUAGUAUGUCCUCACUUACUUGCUGACAUGGAUUCUUUGCUUGGCCAAAUUUUAGUCACGUCUUCUGAACAUUCUUCUAGGCCCAUCUGUGCACUUCCUUGUAAAAUACUGUUUUAACUAAGUCAGUUUAGCAACAAUCCCCAAUCUCAGUGUCUGAUCACCCUUGGUAGCUGAUCAUAUUACUUAUCCUCCCUUAUCCCCCAGGUGAUUUCUGAUCUUUCUGGUCUGUUUUUAGCAAGAUCCUGUUAGGUUGGUUUAGCCAGAAUUCCCCUUACCCCUGAUGUUUCUGCUUAGUAAUUUUCCAUCCUCUGACUACCUCAUCUGCUUCUUGGCUACAGAUUCUCACUUGCCCCUGCUGUAUUCGGAGUUGAGUUCAAUCUCCCUAGCCUAUUGUUAAGACUUAGUUGUAGUCAUUCCUGUAGCUACUGCAAUGAUCCUAAAUGAAGUCUUUUUUACUGUGCUUUAACAAGUAUCAUUGAAUAUUUUUUUUCUUUAACAUUACACAAAAAGGAAAACAGCCUGUUCAUUUCAUGGAAGGACGUUUUGGAAAAAUAGAUCCAGACCUACAUAGAAAGGUAUGACAGCUACCUUAAUUCAUCCAUCAAGACCUUUCUUCUUAAUUGUGAAUUACCAACUAUAGAUCAUCAGAGAAUUUAAGAAAAUCGACAAACUAAAUGCAAAGAAACAAGCUAAUGAAAUAGAACAAAUGACUAAAGGAAACAGAAGUAAUUCAAUGAACAUAAGAAAACUUAAAAAAUAUUCUAAUUACAUUCUCAGAAAGAUUUGAGUGCACACUACAUACAUUAGAAGAGAAAAAUAAAGGAAAAUCAGACUGCUAUGAAAACCAAGAUUCAUCAUUUCGCAUUUCUGUAACCAUGAAUGAGGGUGUUUGUUUUCUUAGAACUGUCCAUGUGGAACAUCCUGUCAGCCUCAGCUUUUUAACAAUCAGGAAGAAAGUCACACAACCACAUAUUUUCUGAACAUAAGCUGAACUUCUACUUCCAUGGAGUGAGUUACUUCACCUCAUUGGCAAAAGACAACAGAAGAGUCCAAAGUCUGAGGGGACUGGGCAAGCUUCUGUCACAUGCUUUCAGAAUGAAGACAAUCUGCAAGAAUUUUAAGUUGUGACCUCUACAGAGAAAAGAAUGAAAAGUAGCCAAAUCUCCACAUGAGAGAUUUUGGACUAUUUUGCAGUGUAAACCCCAUCUGAUUUAUAUGAAGAGACAGGUUGUAAAGAAUGGUUCUCAGUGCUGCUUUCAUCAUGAAAGACUGAAGAAUCACUAUUGGCUCAUUUUAUAGGAAAGAAAUACUUUCACAGAAGAGCAUGCCUAUAGUAACUUUGGAAAUAUUCCACAUCUUGGAAGAGCUGGCUUAGGAUAUAAAGAAACUUGAAAAUAAAAAAAAAUGGCCUAAUCAGAAAAUAUUUAGUUUUUGCCAUAAACUAUAUCAAACAUGUAGACAUAGUACACAUGGACUUGCUUCUUUUGGUUUUCAGUGCCUGUAACUUAUUAAUAAAAGUCAGUGGAGAACAUCUAUCCUAAAAUGUUUAAAUAUUUUUAGCUUGAUUUAAGAUGCAUUUGGUUUGAAAUAGGAUAUGUGGUAUGUAAUGGAAAACUGAAAGUGACAUGAACAGAAAUAUUGAUAAUUAAGACAUAUCAGUUACAACAUACUCAUUGAUCUCAUUGAUUUGAAAGUAAUUUGCUCAGCAUAAUGUGUAUUAUCUUAACAUUAAUUUAUGGCUUCUUGCUGAUUGAGUGAAAUUCAGCUUAAAAUAAAUCACCAGUGUCUACCCUGACAGCAAUAGUAGGCAAAAAAAAGAGGACCGAAAACUGAGCAAUUUUUCUUCCAUAUGUCUCUAGACUCUGUAUCACUGUCGAUUUAAAAAGUCAAAUAUUUGUGCUCUGUCUGGCUCAACUAAAGUUAAGUGUGGCAUUGUACUGUUUGCUACCCAAUAAUCUGUGAUUAAUUUUCAGAAUGACCCUUUCUAUUUUUCUUCAUAUGUGAUUUGCCAAGCCAAUAUUAAAACCACAUUUGCUUAAUCUUUCUCAUGUUUGAGUAUUCAAAUACUCAGGAGUUCACUGGGGGAAUCUGACAAAUGAUUUGAAGAAAAAUGGACAAGUGUUCCUGGGGCAGGUUUUAUGGGAAAUGGGUGGAGGAAAGUGGUUGGGUGGGGAUUUAGUUGCAAUUUGUCCUAGAUUCUUCUAGGUCUUUAGCCUUAUCACAUACUAGCAGGAUAUAAUACCAUUUUAGAGCUGGAAUUAUUCAUUGUGUUGAUUUUCUUGACACAACAUCAGCAGAGUAUUAGCUUUUGUGCUUUAAUAAUAAAUUGUCAAAUUUUCAGUGAUAUCAAGGACUAUUUGGGAAGAAUUAUCUUAUUUCUAGGAGCCAAAAAAAGGCAAUACAGAAAAUGUACAGAGAGGGAUCACUCUACUAUGAAACUUGGUUCAGCUUAAUAAUGGAUUUAAUCUUUUAGUCAGGAAAUAUAUAAUUUA